rnacentral:lncRNA from 1 species
AUGCUUCAAGUAAUGAGCAACAAAUACAAAAUGCUUAGUGAAGCCUAUUUCAGGGAAUCAAACUCUCAGGUACCAACAAUCUGCCGAGGCUUAACGCGAUUUGAUUUGUGCGAAGAUCAGCACUCCCACAAAAAUAUUCUAAUACCUCAACUUCAGUUAGCAGCAAAUUCCUCACAAGUUUUUGUGGAAACUGACCCUAGGGACGAGAGCCAUGUAAGCUACUGAGCUUCUCUUUGCCCUACCUAACUUCUUUGCGUGUUUUAGUCAUCGAUUACUUGGCGUUGUUUAGGAAUUGAGUCUACUCUCUUGUAAACCUUAUUUAAGUUUGAUCAUGCCUUGUUAGCAAGGUUGAAAGCUUUAGGUUACUAAGCAUCUAGUUUCAGUACCACCGUGCGUGAUUGCCAUGUGGAUUCUCUCAUAUUUACUCCGGGUUUAAGUCCACCAUGUGUGGACCUUAUUUAGAUGUAUUCCAAAUUUCAGUUUAAUUGUACUUUGUAUUGAUUUCAUUCUAGCUAUAAUUGUUACAAUAUUCAUGUAUAUAUAGUAACUAACUUGUAAUGUAAAUGGUGAUUUCAGAUAGUUAAAGAUGGAUUUCAAUGGAGGAAAUAUGGCCAGAAAGUUACUAAACAUAAUCCUUUUCCCCGAGCUUAUUUUAGGUGUUCAAUGGCUCCCGGAUGCCCUGUCAAAAAGAAGGUAUACAUACAUACAUACAUACAUACAUACAUACAUACAGAGGGAGAGGAUAAUAUUUUAUGCUCAAUCGCGUUUAGAAGAUCUCAUCUGAGUGUUAAUUAGUGCGGCAAAGUUGAGGGGAAAUUCAUCUAUAUGUAAAUUGGUGAUUUGGAUUUUCAAGACAUGGAAAAAUGAAUAACAAGGAACCUCCGGAUCUUUGUUUUUUUAAUUUCCAGGUUCAGCGAUGCAUGGAAGACAAGAAUUUCUUGAUGGCAACAUACGAAGGACGACACAACCAUGAAGUUAAUCCUUCAAUAGGACAAUCUUUGUCUUCCCCCACCAGCUCCGCCACGACAUCCAUCUCCGGUUUUCCCAAUUCAGUUCUUGAUAACCCGUUACGAUCCGCCAUCGCUCUUGAUCUCAAUCUUUCAAGCGAAAACAGCUGCGGCAACGGCAACGAUGACGAUUAUAACAACAAGAGAUCAAUGGAAGACCAUGUUGCAGCAUCCUUAGCAAAAGAUCCUAGCUUCACUCUAGCUUUAGCCGCAGCUGUUGCUCGCUCCAUUACUGAGCACCCUAAACCACCAACAAACUAAAAUAACAUUUCUUUAAAGCAUUAGGCUAAGGUGUGUAUGUGUACUUAAUUCAAGUCGGUCUUAGUUGUCAUUCAUUUUCUUGAAGCAAUUGAGGGAGCAAAUAUAAAAUAACUUCAGAAAUAAAAGGGAGGGACUUAAUUGAAAAGAAAACAAAACUUGCUUAAAUGUCCAAAGGAGCAAUAAUACCAAGCAUAUACAAUGAGAAGAACCAUCCUAGCUUCUCUUAUUUGGUUAAGGCUACAUAUUUAUACGUACAUACAUUUUUUACUCAUAUUUUAAUAUAUAAAUUAGCAAUAAAUUAAGUGAAUUGGAAAUAAAAAUAUAUUUAAUAAAAACUAAUUUAUUAAUAAAAUAUAUAUUAAAAUGAUUUGACAUUAAAUAAAAAAUAAUAAUUAAUAUUAUGUUUAUUUUAAAAAAUAAUAUAAUUAAAAUAAAAAUUAAAUUAGAAAAUAAGUAGCAGUGAAAGGGGUGAAAUAGAAAUUACCCCCUUCCACUAGAGAUUUGUAUCUCCACUGAUGGCCUUUAACUUUGAGGGUGAAUUUGGAUGGGCGGUGCGUUUAUUUGCGAUUAUUGUAAAAAUAGUGGUGGUGAUGAGAUUAAAUACUAUAGUGAUACUGUAGCGUGAGAUAAAAAGUAAGCUAAACACACCGUAUCGCACCCAAUCGCCCAUCCAAACCAACCUUGAGUCCGAAAUUGAGAACUAGUAAGAUGCAUUCCUUCAACUAUUGCUCUUCUAAACAGUUUCACUAGUGAAAAUGCGGUGAGAUAGAGAAUAAAUUGUAUUGAUGGCCUUAAAUCCUGAGUCCAAAAUUGAGAACUGGUGAGACACGUUCCCUCAACUGAUGCUCUUCAAACAGUCUCACUAGUGAAAAUGCGGUGAGAUGGAGAAUAAAUUGUACUGAUGCCCUUUAACCCUGAGUCCAAAAUAAAAGUCAACACAAGAAAUUAAAUAAAAAACAAAUACUUUGAAGAAAAUAUGCUAAGGUUAGAGGUAUCAAUCGGAUAAUCUAGUAAUGUAUGUCUAAUAAUUAAUCAUAUGAAUCCAUGAGCAAAGAUAAGACCAUCAAAGGAACGUCCAAAAUGAUUGUUCAAUAAGUUCAAGAGUUUAGCAAAUGAAUCCAUAUAAAAGGAUGGUGUAAUACGACAGUUUAACUGUUUGAGUUCAGUCCAAAAAUAUAACAUAUGGUAUUAUAAUCACUUGAUAACUUCAAGACUUGUAAAAAAGAUUUCAAAUAUUUUAUGCCAAUUUUUAUGUCUACAGCAAAUCAAGGUUAAUUUAUCCAAGCAUUCAUUGUGUCAUAUAUUGUCUAUAUCAAAUAAAAUAUAUUACUUUACAAGUAUGAUUAUAAUAAAUGAUUGAUAAUUAAAUUAAGCUCAAAUGAUGAGUAUGUAAUUUACCUUAAUAUUUGCCAAGAGUUUCAUCCUUGCACCUCACCAUUGAAAACUUAACAAAAUUAAACAACUCAAACUUAUAUAUAAAGACAUAUUAGAUAUAAGAAACUUGAGAUUUUACAAAGAUAAAACUAUGAAGAAAUACUAACAAGAAAAUGAUCUUGAUCUCAACUUCAAGAUGCCUCCUAUUCUGAAAUGAAAAGCUAUUUAUAGAGGUUUGUGAAGAGAAAAAUGACAAUGCAAAUAACUUGCUAAUAAUAAAUUUUUAGGCCUAUUUCUUUAUCAUCUUUUGAGUCAUUUUUCACAUGUUAAAUGAUGACUUAUUUUGUCCAAUUUAAUGUCUCCC